GACGAACGCUGGCGGCGUGCUUAACACAUGCAAGUCGAACGAUGAAGCCGGAGCUUGCUCUGGUGAAUUAGUGGCGAACGGGUGAGUAACACGUGAGUAACCUGCCCUUGACUCUGGGAUAACUGCUAGAAAUGGUAGCUAAUACCGGAUACGACCCUCGGAGGCAUCUCCAGGGGGUGGAAAGAAUUUCGGUAAAGGAUGGACUCGCGGCCUAUCAGCUAGUUGGUGAGGUAACGGCUCACCAAGGCGACGACGGGUAGCCGGCCUGAGAGGGUGGCCGGCCACACUGGGACUGAGACACGGCCCAGACUCCUACGGGAGGCAGCAGUGGGGAAUAUUGCACAAUGGGCGCAAGCCUGAUGCAGCAACGCCGCGUGAGGGAUGACGGCCUUCGGGUUGUAAACCUCUUUUAGUAGGGAAGAAGCGAAAGUGACGGUACCUGCAGAAAAAGCACCGGCUAACUACGUGCCAGCAGCCGCCGUAA
rnacentral:rRNA from 1 species